GUAUGUAUAUCAUAUAUGUAGUUUCAAACAUAAAAUAGAAGCAUCUUCAGGGACAUCAAUACAGUCAGAAUUGAAGGAGGAAAAGGCCAAAAAAAUAACACUAGUUCAGGAUUACAGGAUUAAUUCAGAUUUAUGUUACUCACUUCAUGUGCCAACAACAUGAACCUUUUAUUUGUCAAAACAUGAUGGUACGGCUAUUUUCUUCUUUGUGAGAUUUGUUUUCCAGUGGAACAAAAUUUUAGGUUUAAAUGUGUUCUCAGUAUGUAUAUCAUAUAUGUAGUUUCAAACAUAAAAUAGAAGCAUCAUCAGGGACAUCUACACAGUCAGAAUUGAAGGAUGAAAAGACGGAAAAAGAAGAGUAGUUCCGGAUUACAGGAUUAAUUCAGAUUUAUGUUACUCACUUCAUGUGCCCACAAUAUGAACGUUUUAGUUGUCAAAGCAUGAUGGUAGUGUAAGAUUCUCUCACUACAAAUUGUUUGCCUGGCUUGAUUGAGUGCUCCGCUAUCCUCCUCUAUCACAUGCACUCGUUAAUGAUGAACAUUAGUGAGCAUGCUGCACAAGGCUUUUACUGUUUUUGUAUCUCUGCUGCAACUUUUCUUCUUAUUGAGUAAUCCGUAUGUUUGCAGAAAUUCACACUUCCUAUGCAGGAUCCAUAUAAUUGUAUCAAAAGACCUUCACUGAUGAGCUGAACUGAAAUUUAAUUGCAUAAUCUGAAUAAACAUUGUCAUGCCUGAUGAAAAACGCGCACACAUGAAAACCAGUGGCAUGCUGCACUUGCCCAAUGCUUUUACCUUUAUUAUAUUUUUUAUUCCUGCUGGAACUUAUAACACUUGGGCAAUCAGUAUAUGUAGACUACUCCACAAAUUGGUGCAUUUGUAUGGUUUAAGGAUCCUAUAGAUUUCUUGAUCAUAAAGUUCUAGGAGAGAGAGAGAGUAACCUAAAGACUGGAGAUUUGUAUGAGAUCUACUUCCUGUUUUCUGUCCGACAUAAUUUCUCUUUACAAAAACUUCAUUAUUCACAUUUUCGGAGGAUCCAAUCUCUUGUAUUGAACACUAGUGUUGAUAAGCUGAUUCCAUGAUCUGAAUGAAAUAUUAUUUUGACUGAA